GAUGAACGCUGGCGGCGUGCCUAAUACAUGCAAGUCGAGCGAACAGACGAGGAGCUUGCUCCUCUGACGUUAGCGGCGGACGGGUGAGUAACACGUGGAUAACCUACCUAUAAGACUGGGAUAACUUCGGGAAACCGGAGCUAAUACCGGAUAAUAUAUUGAACCGCAUGGUUCAAUAGUGAAAGACGGUUUUGCUGUCACUUAUAGAUGUAUCCGCGCCGCAUUAGCUAGUUGGUAAGGUAACGGCUUACCAAGGCAACGAUGCGUAGCCGACCUGAGAGGGUGAUCGGCCACACUGGAACUGAGACACGGUCCAGACUCCUACGGGAGGAAGCAGUAGGGAAUCUUCCGCAAUGGGCGAAAGCCUGACGGAGCAACGCCGCGUGAGUGAUGAAGGUCUUCGGAUCGUAAAACUCUGUUAUUAGGGAAGAACAAAUGUGUAAGUAACUAUGCACGUCUUGACGGUACCUAAUCAGAAAGCCACGGCUAACUACGUG
rnacentral:rRNA from 1 species